rnacentral:rRNA from 1 species
UUAAAUUGAAGAGUUUGAUCAUGGCUCAGAUUGAACGCUGGCGGCAGGCCUAACACAUGCAAGUCGGACGGUAGCACAGAGGAGCUUGCUCCUCGGGUGACGAGUGGCGGACGGGUGAGUAAUGUCUGG